ensembl:lncRNA
GGCGACGGUGGCCGCGGGGUGGCCGAGGCUCACCCCCGCGCAACGGAACUGUUGGUGCGCUCCGACGGCGCGGAAGCCUCCGCCGAGCGCCGCCUUCUGACAGACAAAGAAGAACUACAAACCUCAGCCAGUCAGGAGCAACCACCAUCAACAAGCCUACUGCCCACUGUGGGAGAAGUAACAGUUCUAUUGAUGCAUCUCAGUGGGGAUGAAUUUCAGAAACAGCACUGCAGCCUCACUUUCUCUUUAGAGAGAACCACAGGAGUUGCUACCACCUCUCUGGGCAGCCUUUUCCAGAGCUUCGUCACUCCAACAAGAAAACAAAUCAGGCAGAUGUAGACAAUUUAUCCACAUGAGUGUAUCUCAGUGUAUGGUAACUGUUGAGUCACAACCUGAACCACUGAUUGAGCAGCUGGGGAAAGGACCAGGUCAGCCCUGGGAGCAAGAGGUGAAGGUGAUUCUCCUGUGUGACCAGAAGGCGUGGAGCCUGGCUGCACCUCUCUUAGACCCCAUUUAAGGGCUGACUGCCACUGGGGAAGGAUCUCUUUCUGGAGAUCCCUUUUUGGUGGAGUUUUGCUCUGUGAACCUGGAAUCUUCAGAUGCAAGUGAGCAAUCUUCUCUCCUUCCUUUAUAGCAUCUUUCCCAUCAUAUUGAUCCGUGCAAUUGCUACACUCAGUAAAUACAAACACAUAGGUAAUGCCCACUAAUACAUAAUUACGUGCACAUAUGAAAGAGCUUGGCUGAGCCUGUGCUCUGUCUGCCCUUGUUUGAUGUAAUUAGUUGUGACCACUUUUCUUCAGGCAAUCACAAGCUUCCAGCCUUGCAGUCAUUCCACCUCUACCCACCACACUCGGGUCUGUAUGCGUGGUACCUAUUUUGUGCUGAAAAAUUGUUGCUGGUAACUUCUGGAAACUCUAAUGCAGCUUUACCACUGUCUUCAUGACGCUUCCAUUCUUCACAAAUCAGUGAUGAUAAUGCCAGUUUUAUUUUCACAUAGCAUUGACAGGCACUUAAGGGCUUA